rnacentral:rRNA from 1 species
CUUAGAUAUUUUAAAUACAAAAAAUAUUCGCCAGAGAAUUACGAGCUAAACAUGCUUAAAACUCUAAGGACUUGGCGGUACCUCAAACCCACCUAGAGGAGCCUGUUCUAUAAUCGACAAUCCACGAUUCACCUCACCAUCUCUUGCCAACUCCGCCUAUAUACCGCCGUCAUAGCUUACCUUAUGAAAGAUAAAAAGUAAGCAAAAUAAUCUAAACAAUUAAUAAAUCAGGUCAAGGUGUAGCUUACUGAGAUGGAAGAAAUGGGCUACAUUUUCUAUACUAGAAAUAACUACGGAAAGAUACCUUGAAAUAGGUUCUACAAGCAGGAUUUAGCAGUAAACUGGGAAAAGAGAGCC